AGUGAACGCUGGCGGUAGGCCUAACACAUGCAAGUCGAACGGCAGCACAGUAAGAGCUUGCUCUUAUGGGUGGCGAGUGGCGGACGGGUGAGGAAUACAUCGGAAUCUACUUUUUCGUGGGGGAUAACGUAGGGAAACUUACGCUAAUACCGCAUACGACCUACGGGUGAAAGCAGGGGAUCUUCGGACCUUGCGCGAUUGAAUGAGCCGAUGUCGGAUUAGCUAGUUGGCGGGGUAAAGGCCCACCAAGGCGACGAUCCGUAGCUGGUCUGAGAGGAUGAUCAGCCACACUGGAACUGAGACACGGUCCAGACUCCUACGGGAGGCAGCAGUGGGGAAUAUUGGACAAUGGGCGCAAGCCUGAUCCAGCCAUACCGCGUGGGUGAAGAAGGCCUUCGGUUUGUAAAGCCCUUUUGUUGGGAAAGAAAAGCAGCAGGUUAAUACCCCGCUGUUCUGACGGUACCCAAAGAAUAAGCACCGGCUAACUUCGUG
rnacentral:rRNA from 1 species